UACGUAGGGGGCAAGCGUUGUCCGGAUUCAUUGGGUUUAAAGGGUGCGUAGGCGGCCAUUUAAGUCAGUGCUGAAAUAUCACAGCUUAACUGUGAGGGUGGCAUCGAUACUGGGUGGCUUGAGUGCUAGCGAGGCAGGCGGAAUUGACGGUGUAGCGGUGAAAUGCUUAGAUAUCGUCAAGAACACAGAUAGUGUAGACAGCUUGCCAGGGAGCAACUGACGCUGAGGCACGAAAGUGUGGGGAUCAAACAGG
rnacentral:rRNA from 1 species